UGGUGGAGUGAUUUGUCUGCGUUAAUUCCGUUAACGAACGAGACCGCAGCCUACUAAAUAGUCGGCUUUAUGAUUUAUCAUAGAGUUUCGACUUCUUAGAGGGACUACCGGUGUUUAACCGGUGGAAGCUUGCGUCAAUAACA
rnacentral:rRNA from 1 species